rnacentral:lncRNA from 1 species
GGAGCUCAGGACCAGAAGCCGAGGAAGUCCAGGAGGAAGAGGAGCUGGAGGAGGAGACUGGGGGUGAGGUCCCUCCUGUACCCUUCCCCAACAAUGGCAGUCCCAGCACCCAGGAGGACCAGGAUGGCUUAGAACCAGUGUUAGACGCUGGUUCUGACACCUCAGCCCCUUUCUCUACUCUGACUUCCCGGCUGUUGAUGUCCUGCCCACAGCAGCCAUCUCUGCAACAAUUGUGACAAUGGCUGAGCCUAGCACAGACCCCAACAAAGAUCCUUCCUUGGCCUCAAGGAUCCUUUCUGACCAUCAAGCCUGCUUCUUGGAGGUGGGCGGGUAGGUGGAGAGACUCCCCCCUCACCACCAUCCCCAAGACCGUGACUUUUAUAUUCUGACUCCAAGGUAUUGUUCAGACCUCAGCUCCUGGGGGCCGGCCCCUGGAGUCCUGCGUCCCUGGUAACCUCUAACCAGCAUUCCCAGACACCAGAGGCAGAUAGACAGGUGGGCAGGGGAUCUACUGGGGCUGGGCCAGCACCAUUCCAGAGACAAAUCCAGGGCACAUGCAAACUGGGGGACCUCUCCCUUAUCCCCAGUUCUGACCCUGGGUUAGGCCAUGCUACACUAACCUUCCCUCUCCACCUCACACUUUUGCCUCCCUCUCCAUUUUACUUCUUUCCUCUCCCCUUCAUCUUUUCCCUUACCCUUACUGUUCCACCCAGGAGGAGGAAACUUCACAUAGCUGUCCUCACCUUUUAUUUUAAAUGAAUUUUGUUGGGGUUGAGCGGGGCUGCCUAUGGUCUGAAGGCUUUUGGUGCUUGUCCACACACCCACCUCAACCCUUCCUGCCCAUCCUCCUCUAUCUCCUUUCCUCCUCCUGGGUUCAUGCUGUAAUAAAGAAGAUUGUUGGUGUGUAAUUAAUUUGUUCAAAAGGAGAAGAAAAAGCAAAACAAAAAACUUUGUUUCAACUAAAGCCUAUUUUAAUUUUAUUUUAUUAUUUUCCUCAUUAGAAAUAAAACCCUUAGGAAUGUUUUUUUUUGGAAACAUGUUUCUGAAGUGCAUUUCUCUUCAAAAAGAGCAGCCCCUUCCUCGCCUGUUAAUGGAGCAGUUGCAAUGCUAGUUAGUGGUAGUGCCAGGGCCAGGGAAGCAGGGCUCUGAAUUUAAAUCUUACCAACUUCUCUCUAACCUUGGAAAAGAUAUCCAGUUCCUCCCCCCAAGCCAUUCCCUUGUCUUCAGACUGGUGGGUACUGGUCCCUUUUGAUAAUUUGCACAGCAGCUUCUGCUAGCUGUGUGCUCUUAAUUUUCUGUUCUCUGGGGGACUUUUCUUCAUGGCUUUAUUGAGGUAGAGUUUCCAUGCUAUAAAAUUCAGCUGUUUUAAAUAUGUAAUUUGGUGAGUCAGACCAUCCUUGAUGUUUCUCCAUUAGUUCUUUCUGCCCUUAAUGAAUGUGUGGUUAAUUUGUAAUUUCUGUGUCACUGUUAACUGCUCUAUUGAGAUGAAAUUUGCAUAGCAUCCAGUUUAUCCACUUAAAGUAUACAAUUCAGUGACUUUUAGUUUAUUUCAGUCAUUGAAUGAAUCAUCACUGCAAAAAAAAUUUUAGAAUGUUUUUACAACCCUCAGAAGAAACCCCACAUUGCCUAGGUAUUCCCUCCCUACUCCCAUUUGUCUCUUCUGGACAUUUUAUAUAAAUGAAAUUAUACAAUAUGUG